rnacentral:rRNA from 1 species
AUAUCCUCUUCAAUUUUCUCUUCAGAUUCUUCAUUCUCCUCUGUGAUAGGUGGCAUAACUAUCUGGUACUCAUUCUUAGGCUGUGGAAUAGAAGCAAAACCAGAUCGCAGACCUUUUCUUAACUCUGCUUGCCUACGAAGCUCAAGCUGCGCGCUGUCUUGCAUUUCCACCUCUUCAUUUAUGUGAAGCUCAUCCCUGAAGGGGGUCCCUUUUGGAGUUAACCCAAAGGAAUUUCCAUCUCUGGACGGUGUCAUACCAAUCCUUGGGGUAACACCAGGGCCAGGGCUAGCCAGAGGUGUUGCCAUGGGAUUUGGAGUCUGCAUCUCUUUCUUACGUGGUGUAACGCCAGAGAAAUCUGAUGGAUGA